ensembl:lncRNA
CAGAAAUAUGUAAUUUUGUAUUUUAGAGAUCUACCUAAAAGGAACCCAGCAGCAGAGAUAACUAGAACACAGUGAUCUACCUAAGGAACACAGGUAGAGAUAGAGGUUGUCUUCUCCAGGUGAGUCAGUCUACAGGUAGAGAUAGAGGUCUCUUCUCCAGGUGAGUCAGUCUACAGGUAGAGAUAGAGAUCUCUUCUCCAGGUGAGUCAGUCUACAGGUAGAGAUAGAGGUCUCUUCUCCAG